rnacentral:rRNA from 1 species
GUUAGAGCCGCGGUAUAUUGACUGUGCGGUAGCAUAAUAAUUUGUUUCUUAAAUGGAAUCAAUGAAUGGUUUAACAAAAUAAAAGCUUUUUUUUUACUAAAUUUUUGAAUUCAUAGUGAAAAGGCUUUGAUUUUCAAAGAAGAGAAGACCCCUAGAGUUUUAUUUAGUUGAUUUAACUUUGGUAGGUGGAAUUUUGUUAAUUUGAAAAGUUUAGCUGGGGUGGCUCUUAAGUAUGAUCCUGUAGAUGAAAUUUGAAAGAUGAUGACCCACUUAAUGUGAGUAGAAGUAAAAUUACCUUGGGGACAGCGUAAUCUCCCUUGAGAGGUCGUAUUGAUGGGGGGGUUUGCGACCUCGAUGUUGGAUGGAAAGAUUUUGGAGAAGCUA